rnacentral:rRNA from 1 species
AAUCAACGCUGGCGGCGUGCCUAACACAUGCAAGUCGAGCGAGAAAAGGGAGCAAUCCCUGAGUACAGCGGCGCACGGGUGAGUAACACGUGGGUAAUCUGCCUCGGGGUGGGGAAUAACACCGGGAAACCGGUGCUAAUACCGCAUACGAUCACGAUGUCUGCGGACGUUGUGAUGAAAGGCGCAAGUCGCUCUGAGAGGAGCCCGCGGCUGAUUAGCUAGUUGGUGGGGUAAUGGCCCACCAAGGCAACGAUCAGUAUCCGGUCUGAGAGGACGGUCGGACACACUGGAACUGAGACACGGUCCAGACUCCUACGGGAGGCAGCAGUGGGGAAUUUUUGGCAAUGGGGGCAACCCUGACCAAGCAACGCCGCGUGGGUGAUGAAGUCUCUUGGGACGUAAAACCCUUUCGACGGGGAAGAAACCGCAAGGUUGACGGUACCCGUAGAAGAAGCCCCGGCUAACUCCGUGCCAGCAGCCGCGGUAAAAC